UACAGAGGGUGCAAGCGUUAUUCGGAGUUACUGGGCGUAAAGAGCUCGUAGGAGGUUCUUCAAGUCUGGUGUGAAAUCCCUGAACUCAAUUCAGGAAGUGCAUUGGAUACUGUAGAACUAGAGUAUAGGAGAGGAAAGCGGAAUUCCAGGUGUAGAGGUGAAAUUCGUAGAUAUCUGGAGGAACAACAGUGGCGAAGGCGGCCUUCUGGACUAUAACUGACUCUGAGGAGCGAAAGCGUGGGGAGCAAACAGG
rnacentral:rRNA from 1 species